rnacentral:rRNA from 1 species
UACGAAGGGGGCUAGCGUUGUUCGGAUUUACCGUGCGUAAAGCGCACGUAGGCGGAUCGUUAAGUCGGGGGUGAAAUCCUGGAGCUCAACUCCAGAACUGCCUUCGAUACUGGCGAUCUUGAGUCCGGAAGAGGUGAGUGGAACUCCUAGUGUAGAGGUGGAAUUCGUAGAUAUUAGGAAGAACACCAGUGGCGAAGGCGGCUCACUGGUCCGGUACUGACGCUGAGGUGCGAAAGCGUGGGGAGCAAACAGG